AUGGCCAUUAAGAGCAUUUCUGCUUUAACUGAAGGGUGUUUUCCUACUUUUGUCAUACACAAAGCAUGCCUUCUUUUGUUUCCUGAUCACAGCUCUAAUUUUCCCUGCUGGAUGAAUUCAGCAAGUGGAGAAUCUGGAGGCUUUAACAUUAGCAGAAUCUACAACGCGCCAGAGGGGCACAAAACCUGCACAGAGAACAUUUGCUCUUCAGGCUUGGCGGUGUGGUUGCCACAGCUACCAAAGCUGCUGAUUUCUCUGCUUCGUGUUCACGUGGGAAGAGAAGCUCUCAAGAAAGUAUUUUGAGCUCUGUCAUCUAAAGCAAAGAUAGUAAAUACAUGGCCCAGGAUAAGCCCAGGACAAAUUCCAGUCCUCAAUCACAGUAUGUUUUCGUGCUGAUCCUGGAUUGUGCCUCAGAAUCAUUCUCAGUACCGUGUUCCGGGUAGCUCCUCCCAACAGGUAAGAGUUGCCAAGUGAUGUGAAAUCAACUUGCUAUUUUUGCUCUAAUGAGAAUGUAAACCUGAUCUUUCCAUUGGUUGAGUUUUUCUAAUUUUGGUUCCACUCCUUAAUUCCAUGAUUAUGGCUGGUGGGGUGGGGCACAUGAGGAUUUAUAGAUCCCAUUCGUAGUUCCAAAAUCUGUAUUAGUGUUCUCCAGAGAAACAGAACCAAUAGAAUGUGUGUAUGCGCACACACACACACACACACACACACACACACACACACAGAGAGAGAAAGAGAGAGAGAGAGAGAGAGAUUUCAAGUAAUUGGCUUGCAUGACUAUGGGGCUGGCAAGUCUGAAAUCCAGAGAGCAGGUUGACAGGCUAGAAACACAGGAAAGAAUUGAUAUUGCAGUCUCAAAUCUGAAAGCUGUACUGCAUGGAGGCAGAAUUCCUUUUUCCUCAGGGGGCCUCUGUCUUUUCUUUUAGGUCCUUCAACUGAUUGGGUGAGGCCCACCCAUAUUAUAGCAGUGAAUCGGUUUUACUCAAAGUCUACUGACUUAAAUGUUAAACAUAUUUCUUAUAGGUGAAAUAUCUUAAAAAAUAACUGUACAGCAACACAACAUUUAGGCUGAUGUUUAACCAAACCAUAACCUAGCCAAGUUGACAUUUAUUAAAUAUAACAAACUCUAUCAGCAAAAAGAAUUA
rnacentral:lncRNA from 1 species